ACGAACUCAUUUUUGCAAGAAAUGACUGAUGGAAUUGAAGUGCACUGGAUCGUCUCACGAAUGUCCUGAAUGUUUGCAAUUGUUUUCAGCUGAGACUUAUGCUGUUUAUGACUUAUGUAUUGAGACAAGAUGAUGGAUGAGGGAACAUGGAGCUGUUUUUGAUCUGGAAUAAUACUGAAUGAACACAAUCACAUUUUAAUGUUCAGUCAUUCAAUUAAUCAUCAGGUUAAGUUAAGAAAUCAUUUAAGAACUGCUCUGGUCAUUUUUAGUUUUUUGUUUGUAUGUUGUUUGUUAUGUUUAGUAUGUAUGUUGUUUGUUUUCUUGAUAAUACAGUAAUACCAUUAGACAGCCACAAUAGCUCUAGUCAGUACUAUGUAUGGCAUAGUCUAAGUUUAUCAUUUUUCUGUAGCAUGCUGCAUAUAAUGUAUGCUUUCUGUGCUCUUUGUUGACAAACUGAAGGAUACGUCUU